UUUCCCAUUUCUUUAAGAAAGUAAGAUCCCUGAGAGAUGAUCAGGUAGAUAGGUCAGGAGUGGAAGUACAGUGAUGUAUGGAGCGGACUGAUACUAAUCGAUCGAGGACUUAACCAAU
rnacentral:rRNA from 1 species